UUAGCCACACACGUAUUAGAGGUACUGCCUGCCCAGUGACAUUGAUUCAACGGCCACGGUAUUUUGACCGUGCAAAGGUAGCAUAAUCACUUGUUUUUUAAAUGAAGACCUGUAUGAAAGGCAACACGAAAGCUUAACUGUCUCCUUUGUCUAGUCUACGAAACUGAUCUCCCUGUAAAAAAGCAGGAAUGAAAUUGUAAGACGAGAAGACCCUAUGGAGCUUAAGACCCGGACAAUCUUACACGUAAAAACUUGUCCAAUUCUUCAGUUGGGGCGACUACGGAGCACACAAACCCUCCGCGAACUAUCCGCCGAACAACACAAAUUAACGCACUAAAACAUUUAAACAAAUGAUCCAAUAAUAUUGAUCAACGAACCAAGCUACCCUAGGGAUAACAGCGCAAUCUUCUUUCAGAGUCCUUAUCAACAAGAAGGUUUACGACCUCGAUGUUGGAUCAGGGUACCCAGACAAUGCAACCGUUGUCACAGGUUUGUUUGUUCAACAAUUAAAACCCU
rnacentral:rRNA from 1 species